rnacentral:snRNA from 1 species
AAACAGUUAAACAUCACUAGAUU